AAUCUUGCGCAAUGGUCGAGAGACUGACGCAGCGACGCCGCGUGUGGGAGGACGCCUUUCGGGGUGUAAACCACUGUUGCCCGGGACGAACACCUUCUUUCGAGGAGGCUGACGGUACCGGGUGAGGAAGCACCGGCUAACUCCGUGCCAGCAGCCGCGGUAAUACGUAGGGUGCGAGCGUUGUCCGGAAUUAUUGGGCGUAAAGAGCUCGUAGGCGGUUUGUUGCGUCUAUCGUGAAAACCUGCGGCUUAACUGUGGGCUUGCGGUGGAUACGGGCAGACUUGAGUUCGGUAGGGGAGACUGGAAUUCCUGGUGUAGCGGUGAAAUGCGCAGAUAUCAGGAGGAACACCGGUGGCGAAGGCGGGUCUCUGGGCCGAUACUGACGCUGAGGAGCGAAAGCGUGGGGAGCGAAC
rnacentral:rRNA from 1 species